rnacentral:rRNA from 1 species
UCGCUACUACCGAUUGGACGUUUUGGUGAGAUUCAGGGAAUGUAGCAGCAUGGUGGUUCGCUACCGAGCUGCACGCAUGAACUGACUCAAACCUGAGCGUCUAGAGGAAGUAA